ensembl:lncRNA
GUAAAUUAUGUAACUGCAUUUUUACGUUAAUCUUCAAACAUUGUGCUUGCAUGGAUGAAUUCGGGCACAGUAAUAGAUCCAUAAAGAAAUGAGAUUGGUCAUGGAUUAUAAAACAGUUCUUGAUGGAGAGUUUCACUAGAACAGACACCGGUCACUGAUUCAACUCAAGUCUGGCUAUAUUAACAGGCAAGAUUUUUGUAAGCAUGAGGGCCCAUUGCCUUCACUGGAAUCACUUGAUGCAAUUUUUAGAAAAAGGUUUUAUUUUAUUAAUUUUUUUCCCCUUUGCAGCUACUGUAGUACACGCAGAGACACUUUACUGGCUAUAAACCAAGUACUUGAUUGAUUAUUCAUGGACAAAUGCUUAUGGAAAGGACACCAUAUAUAUAGUAGUCACAAAAAAAUUAGCAGCAAACCAAAUUUAACGAUGCAACUGAGAUAGAAGUUUCAAAGUCAAGUUCUACUGCAGAGGAGAUACCCAGCCAAAUAUACUGACUGGCCGGUCCCUUAUUCCCAGUCACCUGAUCAUCAGGGCACUUUCACAGCUUUCCAGAUGUGAAAAUGACUGUUUAUAGAAAUACAAGAAAGAUGUGGCAAGAGGGCCGGCAGGGCAGAACACGUCCGCUUCCAUUUGUCAUAACGAAGCACUGUCAUGCAAGGUGUGUGCGUUGAAACACUUUUACAUCGGCAUGUGUUUGUCACCCUGGGAUGGAUCCAUGUCCAUCCUUGGCAUUUUGUAAGGAAAUUGUGCACGCAAACAUGUCACAUGUGUAAUUAUAUCUACAUCACAUGAGCGCUUAAAUGAACACGCAAAGCCAUCCAUGUUCAAGGAACAUAUAGGAGUAGAAGUAUGACAUUUUGCUCAGCCACACAUUCAUACAUGGUUAUGCAUGGCUAACUUCACCCACAUAUUUCACAUUCUGAAAUAUGAAACGCCCCCCCCCCCUCCCCACACACAUAAACAUGCUCGUGUGGUAACUACAGCGAGAUGGGUCUGUGAGUCCGCUCCAGGCCAGAUCAUCCUUUCCACAUGAGUGUGUCCAGUCUCUAGUCCUCACCCCCUCCCCACUUUUUCCAACAUGGCUCUGAAUACUCCAAAGAC